rnacentral:rRNA from 1 species
UACGGGGGGGGUAAGCGUUGUUCGGAAUUACUGGGCGUAAAGGGCGCGUAGGCGGCCGCCUAAGUCAGACGUGAAAUCCCUCGGCUUAACCGGGGAACUGCGUCUGAUACUGGGUGGCUUGAAUCCGGGAGAGGGAUGCGGAAUUCCAGGUGUAGCGGUGAAAUGCGUAGAUAUCUGGAGGAACACCGGUGGCGAAGGCGGCAUCCUGGACCGGUAUUGACGCUGAGGAGCGAAAGCCAGGGGAGCAAACGGG